GCCAUCCUUCUGCCUUGGUCUCCUAAGUGCUGGAAACACAGGGUUGACCCUGAACUGUGAAGCGGCCAUGACCGUUCUUCCGCACGUUUGGGCUGUUUCCAAGAUUGACUGCCACAGACUGUGCCACUAUGGACGUGGGUGUGCAUAGAUCGCUGUGGUCAAACAUCCUCUUGUGUUGGCAAAUCCAAAUGGCCCUCUGUGUUGUAGGUGACAUCCAGAGAACUGGAAGGAUCGUGUUAUCUAAGAUGGACAAGGCCUCUACCUUUGUGUCACAUUCUGGUGGCCCAAGACAUAAAUAAGCAAACAUAACAAAAUCAUUCCAAACUGUGACAAGUAAACAGGAUAAUAUUGAUAACAUACUUGAGUUGAGGCAAGGCCUAUCUCAGGCUUGACUCAGGCAUGACUUUCCUAGCACACAACCUGUUCAUCAGCAGCCAUGUUGUUUUCAGAAUAAACCACAGCUCAGCACAGGUACUGCUGAUCUCGGAAAAUACAGGAUGUCGUAAAGAAGAAAUAAGGCAGAGCAUGGAAUCUUCCCAGUACCAGGACAUCUGAUAACAUCCAUACACUUGUACCAGACACUGAGGACUUUGACCACUGAUGGACGGGACACUCUGAAAACUUUGACCACCGAUACUUGCUCAGACCCUCUCAUAUAAUGUCCCUUGCCAGAUCUCCCCUUUUUCAAGUCCUAUUUUAAAAACCCACGUUUCUUUGUUCCCCAUAGAUGAUCUUUUCACCCAUCUGCCUGCACCUGGGUAUAUUAAAUCUUAUGCCUUGCUGCUUUCACCAAA